UGCCAGCAGCCGCGGUAAUACGUAGGGUGCAAGCGUUGUUCGGAUUUACUGGGCGUAAAGAGUGCGUAGGCGGUUAAAAAAGUUUGGUGUGAAAUCUUCGGGCUUAACCCGGAAACUGCAUUGAAAACUAUUUGACUAGAGGAUCGGAGAGGAGAUUGGAAUUCUCAGUGUAGCAGUGAAAUGCGUAGAUAUUGAGAGGAACACCAGUUGCGAAGGCGGAUCUCUGGACGAUUCCUGACGCUGAGGCACGAAAGCUGGGGGAGCGAAGAGGAUUAGAUA
rnacentral:rRNA from 1 species